AUUGAACGCUGGCGGCAUGCCUUACACAUGCAAGUCGAACGGCAGCACGGGAGCAAUCCUGGUGGCGAGUGGCGAACGGGUGAGUAAAGUAUCGGAACGUGCCCAGUCGUGGGGGAUAACGUAGCGAAAGUUACGCUAAUACCGCAUACGAUCUAUGGAUGAAAGCGGGGGAUCGCAAGACCUCGCGCGAUUGGAGCGGCCGAUAUCAGAUUAGGUAGUUGGUGGGGUAAAGGCUCACGAAGCCGGCGAUCUGUAGCUGGUCUGAGAGGACGACCAGCCACACUGGGACUGGAGCACGGCCCAGACUCCUACGGGAGGCAGCAGUGGGGAAUUUUGGACAAUGGGCGAAAGCCUGAUCCAGCCAUGCCGCGUGCAGGAUGGAGGCCUUCGGGUUGUAAACUGCUUUUGUACGGUACGAAAAGGUUUGGCCUAAUAAGCUGAGCUCAUGACGGUACCGUAAGAAUAAGCACCGGCUAACUACGUGCCAGCCGCCGCGGUAA
rnacentral:rRNA from 1 species